GACGUAGGGGACGAGCGUUGUCCGGAUUUAUUGGGCGUAAAGCGCGCGUAGGCGGCCGCGCAAGUCGGAUGUGAAACCCCGGGGCUCAACCCCGGGCCUGCACCCGAUACUGCGUGGCUAGAGGUAGGUAGGGGAGAUCGGAAUUCCUGGUGUAGCGGUGAAAUGCGCAGAUAUCAGGAAGAACACCGGUGGCGAAGGCGGAUCUCUGGGCCUUACCUGACGCUCAGGCGCGAAAGCUAGGGGAGCGAACAGG
rnacentral:rRNA from 1 species